rnacentral:rRNA from 1 species
UACGUAGGUGGCAAGCGUUGUCCGGAUUUACUGGGCGUAAAGGAUGCGUAGGUGGAUAUUUAAGUGGGAUGUGAAAUACCCGGGCUUAACCUGGGUGCUGCAUUCCAAACUGGAUGUCUAGAGUGCAGGAGAGGUAAGUGGAAUUCCUAGUGUAGCGGUGAAAUGCGUAGAGAUUAGGAAGAACACCAGUGGCGAAGGCGACUUACUGGACUGUAACUGACACUGAGGCAUGAAAGCGUGGGGAGCAAACAGG